rnacentral:rRNA from 1 species
AGAGUUUGAUCAUGGCUCAGAACGAACGCUGGCGGCAGGCUUAACACAUGCAAGUCGAACGAAACCAAGGCUUCGGCCUGAAGUUUAGUGGCGCACGGGUGCGUAACGCGUGGGAAUCUGCCCUUAGGUACGGAAUAACUCAGAGAAAUUUGUGCUAAUACCGUAUGAUGUCGAAAGACCAAAGAUUUAUCGCCUAAGGAUGAGCCCGCGUAAGAUUAGCUAGUUGGUGAGGUAAAAGCUCACCAAGGCGACGAUCUUUAGCUGGUCUGAGAGGAUGAUCAGCCACACUGGGACUGAGACACGGCCCAGACUCCUACGGGAGGCAGCAGUGGGGAAUAUUGGACAAUGGGCGAAAGCCUGAUCCAGCCAUGCCGCGUGAGUGAUGAAGGCCUUAGGGUUGUAAAGCUCUUUUACCAGGGAUGAUAAUGACAGUACCUGGAGAAUAAGCUCCGGCUAACUCCGUGCCAGCAGCCGCGGUAAUACGAAAGGGGCUAGCGUUGUUCGGAAUUACUGGGCGUAAAGCGAGCGUAGGUUGCUCGAUAAGUCAGUGGUGAAAGCCCAGAGCUCAACUCUGGAACUGCCAUUGAAACUGUCGAGCUGGAAUCUCAGAGGGGGUAGCGGAAUUCCAAAUGUAGGGGUGAAAUCCGUAGAUAUUUGGAGGAACACCGGUGGCGAAGGCGGCUACCUGGAUGAGUAUUGACACUGAGGCUCGAAAGCGUGGGGAUCAAACAGGAUUAGAUACCCUGGUAGUCC